AUUGAACGCUGGCGGCAGGCUUAACACAUGCAAGUCGAGCGGGGUGAUGGUGCUUGCACUAUCACUUAGCGGCGGACGGGUGAGUAAUGCUUAGGAAUCUGCCUAUUAGUGGGGGACAACAUCUCGAAAGGGAUGCUAAUACCGCAUACGUCCUACGGGAGAAAGCAGGGGAUCACUUGUGACCUUGCGCUAAUAGAUGAGCCUAAGUCGGAUUAGCUAGUUGGUGGGGUAAAGGCCUACCAAGGCGACGAUCCGUAGCGGGUCUGAGAGGACGAUCCACCACACUGGGAACUAGCCACGGCCCAGCCUCCUCCGGGCGGGAGCAGUGGGGAUUAUUGGACAAUGGGGCGAACCCUGAUCCAUCCAUGCCGCGUGUGUGAAUAAUGCCUUUGGGUUGUAAAGCACUUUAAGUGAGGAGGAGGCUCUUUUGGUUAAUACCCAAGAUGACUUGACGUUACUCGCAGAAUAAGCACCGGCUAACUCUGUGCCAGCCGCCGCUGUAA
rnacentral:rRNA from 1 species